UGGACAAGGCGGCUGGCGGUA
rnacentral:misc_RNA from 1 species